AUGAUCUGGCAUGUAUAGAAUGAAAACUUCAUUCUCAAUUCUACGAGAAUUUGUAUGAAAGUGUUUCAUUUGCUUCUCUUCAAUGGAGGUUUCAUUUUCCGAGAAUGUAUCCUAAUUUUUUGCCUAAUUCUUCUUCUGAUGAUCGAUUCAACCUCUGGUAAAAAAGAUAGACCUUGGCUCCCCACAUUCCUAAAUAUAAGACCUUUUGGAGAUUCUAAUCCACUAUAA
rnacentral:rRNA from 1 species